rnacentral:misc_RNA from 1 species
AAGUCGUAACAAGGUUUCCGUAGGUGAACCUGCGGAAGGAUCAUUAAAGAGACGUUGCCCUUCGGGGUAUACCUCCCACCCUUUGUUUACCGUACCUUUGUUGCUUUGGCAGGCCCGUCUUCGGACCGCCGGCUUCGGCUGGUCUGCGCCUGCCAGAGGACCCAAAACUCUGUCUGUCUGUGUCGUCUGAGUACUAUAUAAUAGUUAAAACUUUCAACAACGGAUCUCUUGGUUCUG